UUCGGGUUUCCGGCGCGUCCACUUCAUUGUGGGCUCACGGGGACCCUCCUCGCCUUAGGGCGUCAUUUACUGUGAAAAAAUUAGAGUGUUCAAAGCAGGCAAUCGCUUGAAUACAUUAGCAUGGAAUAAUAAGAUAGGAUUUCGUCUAUUUUGUUGGUUGCGGACGACAAUAAUGAUUAAUAGGGAUAGUUGGGGGUGUCCGUAUUGAGCUGUCAGAGGUGAAAUUCUUGGAUUUGCUCAAGACGAACUACUGCGAAAGCAUUCACCAAGGAUGUUUUCAUUAAUCAAGAACGAAAGUCAGGGGAUCGAAGAGGAUUAGAUACCCUCGUAGUCUUGACCAUAAACUAUGCCGACUCGGGAUUGGCAGACGUUGUAUCGACUCUGUCAGCACCGUAUGAUAAAUCAAAGUCUUUGGGUUCCGGGGGGAGUAUGGUCGCAAGGCUGAAACUUAAAGGAAUUGACGGAAGGGCCACCACCAGGAGUGGGGSCUGCGGCUUAAUUUGACUCAACACGGGGAAACUUACCAGGUCCAGACAUAGUUAGGAUUGACAGAU
rnacentral:rRNA from 1 species